rnacentral:rRNA from 1 species
CCUACGGGUGGCAGCAGUGGGGAAUAUUGCACAAUGGGGGAAACCCUGAUGCAGCGACGCCGCGUGAGUGAAGAAGUAUUUCGGUAUUUACAGCUCUAUCAGCAGGGAAGAAAUAGCGACCUUUGGGUCGCCAGACGGUACCUGACUAAGAAGCCCCUGCUAACUACGUGCCAACAGCCGCGGUAAUACGUAGGGGGCAAGCGUUUUCCGGGUUUACUGGGGGGAAAGGGAGCGUAGACGGCAGCACAAGUCUGAAGUGAAAUGCCGGGGCUUAACCCCGGAACUGCUUUGGAAACUGGGCAGAUAGAGUGCAGGAGAGGUAAGUGGAAUUCCUAGUGUAGCGGUGAAAUGCGUAGAUAUUAGGAGGAACACCAGUGGCGAAGGCGGCUUACUGGACUGUAACUGACGUUGAGGCUCGAAAGCGUGGGGAGCAAACAGGAUUAGAUACCCCGGUAGUC